GUUUCCAAAGAGAUCAAAUCAAUCUUGAAAAAAAAAAAUGGAUUCCAUUUCCUAUUAGCGUAAAUAUGAUAUUUAAGAAAACCUGUCGUAAUAUAAAGUGCUUAAACACUUUACAAUCAAGCAUCUACGUCUCUAUUCUCAUUUUGCAAUUAGCAAUAUCGCUAACGAAUCUUACCGUCCGUUUAACCAAAGGAUGUUCAAUUUCAGGAACAGCAGACUAUUCGACAAACACAGGCUGAGAGAGUCCAGGAUAUCCGGCAGAGUGUCGGAACCGAUGUGACUGAAGAGGUACCAAUAUUGAAAGAGUUGCGAAGUGGCCAUCGCCAUUCCCCAAGCGACGCGCUGCAGGAAUUUGCACGAGGAAUCCGGCCAAACGCCGAUCAGCCGCAAAGUGAAUUCCAUCGGACCGCCGAUAGUACUGCUAACUUAUUGCAAACCGUAGACGACGUUCAGUCAUCAUCCACGAACGGUCUCACAGGAAAUCAUGAAUACCGGCACGUGGAAAGUGUUGCAGACAAAUAAUGCGAACGGUAAAAAUUUACGCUCGCUUUGGGACACGAAUUCCAGUGAAAAAGCAAGAUUGAACAAUAUCGAGUCUUCGGUAUCACAAUCAUGUGGAAAUAUGUUUCAUCUAUUUUAAAGAAGAACCAACAUAAAAGAAUGUCUUAAAGGACCGUCUGGGACUUCUGAAAAACGUCAAACUUCUGAAAAAAAUAUCUACUCGUCAGAACUAAAAAAAUUUCCCCUGCAAUCACCGCUGACGCCAUCGCUAACUAUUAUCAUCAGGAAGGACUAGGAAGAAAGGAUU